rnacentral:rRNA from 2 species
GUCUGUGUGAAGUUAUACAGAGUCUAGCCUGCCCAUUGAAUAAUUUUAAAAGGCCGCGGUAUAUUAACUGUGCAAAGGUAGCAUAAUCAUUAGUUUUUUAAUUGAAGGCUUGUAUGAAGGGUUGGACAAAGAAUAAUCUGUUUCUAUUUUUGUUUUUGAAUUUGACUUUUAAGUUAAAAGGCUUAAUUGAAUUUAAGGGACGAUAAGACCCUAUAAAUCUUUAUAUUAAAUUAUUUUUAGUUAAUUAAUAAUGUAAUUUUAACAGUAAAAUAAAAUAUAUUGUGUUGGGGUGAUGAGAAUAUAAAAUUAACUGUUCUAAAUUGAAAACAAAUUUAUUUGAAUUAAUAAUAGAUCCUUAAUAGAGAUUAAAAGUUUAAGUUACUUUAGGGAUAACAGCGUUAUUUUUUUUGAGAGUUCAUAUCGAAAAAAAAGUUUGCGACCUCGAUGUUGAAUUAAAAGUUCUUUGUGGUGUAGGUGCUACAAAAGAAAGUCUGUUCGACUUUU